rnacentral:rRNA from 1 species
AUUGAACGCUGGCGGCAGGCCUAACACAUGCAAGUCGAGCGGAGCGGCGGACGGGUGAGUAAUGCCUAGGAAUCUGACUGGUAGUGGGGGAUAAAGUCCGGAAACGGGCGCUAAUACAGCAUACUAUCAGAUGAGCCUAGGUCGGUUUAGCUAGUUGGUGGGGAAAAGGCAGACCAAGGCGACGAUCCGUAACUGGUCUGAGAGGAUGAUCAGUCACACUGGAACGGAGACACGGUCCAGACUCCUACGGGAGGCAGCAGUGGGGAAUAUUGGACAAUGGGCGAAAGCCUGCUCCAGCCAUGCCGCGUGUGGGAAGAAGUUCUUCGGAUUGUAAAGCACUUUCAGUUGGGAGGCGUUACCAACAGAAUAAGCACCGGCUAACUUCGUGCCAGCAGCCGCGGUAAUUC